ACGCUGCUGCCAUGUUCCGCUGACACCCGUCAGCAGCAUGCCCAGGUAGCCAAGGUCUUCAAGGCUACGACGCGGUUCCGGCCGCGUUGAUCACCCCAGUUCGCUCUCGGCAUCCAUAGCGCGAACGUCCGUCGAGUCAUCGAUGGAGAUGC
rfam:Roseateles aquatilis strain CCTG 48205 Scaffold3_1, whole genome shotgun sequence.